rnacentral:rRNA from 1 species
UACGUAGGGACCAAGCGUUGUUCGGAUUUACUGGGCGUAAAGGGCGCGUAGGCGGCGAAUCAAGUCAGCUGUGAAAUCUCCGAGCUUAACUCCAGAACUGCCUUUGAUACUGAGGAUCUUGAGUACGGGAGAGGUGAGUGGAACUGCGAGUGUAGAGGUGAAAUUCGUAGAUAUUCGCAAGAACACCAGUGGCGAAGGCGGCUCACUGGCCCGUUACUGACGCUGAGGCACGAAAGCGUGGGGAGCAAACAGG